ensembl:lncRNA
GGACGCUGCCCCUGCCCCCACUUGGGGAGCUCCGGGCAUCUCUAAAGCCCUCAACGAGUCCUCCAACCCACCUGCGAGGCUCGCGCACCAGCAACGCGGCCCCACCCGCAGGGACCCCGCCCACCUGUGGCGCUACCCCCGCCUCUGCCGCCCCCCCCCCCCCUAGCGCGGCCCCCCCCCACCACCGCCCCCCCGGUAGGUGCUCUGCCCACCCCCACCCCCCCCCGCCAGCCCCUGCCCCUAGCCGCGCCCCCGCCCCCGCAGCCCCUCCAGUGCGCUCAGGCCCCGCCCGUCACCGCCCAUUGGCGCUGGGGCCGGGCGGGGGCGCGGGCAGGGCGGCGGUUCCGAGUCGGGCGCUGGCGGGCAGGGUCCCCAUUGCCUGCUGCGCACCCGGACUAGCGGCUGCCCUCGGCCUCCUCGCCAUGGACGCCGACGACUCCCGGGCCCCCAACAGCUCCUUGCGGAAGUUCCUGGAGCACCUCUCCGGGGCCGGCAAGGCCAUCGGCGUGCUGACCAGCGGCGGGGAUGCUCAAGACUCUGUAAAGAGCUUUACCCUUCCGAGAUAUGAUCUCGAACCUGUUGGAGCAUUUGGACGCAUUUCUUUUAAGGAAGUUCACCUCCAGAUGUGCUCAGAGGGCCUGGUCUUAGCUGCCACAGAUUUACAAAUCCUUACAAUCAUACACGGGGGUUGUCAGACAUGGUCUGAGACAGCAGCCUGGCCCCGCUACCCCCUGGCUUCUGCUCACAGCACUGACCCCAGCUAA